rfam:Idiomarina baltica OS145 scf_1099451322325 genomic scaffold, whole genome shotgun sequence.
CCGAGUACCAAGGGGUGCCUUUUUAGGCUGAGAUGCGAAAGCGAACCCUUUUUACCUGAUCCGGUUAAUACUGGCGUAGGGAUGGUAAAGUCUCGCAUA